CAGCCGCCACGGUAAUACGAAGGGUGCAAGCGUUAAUCGGAAUUACUGGGCGUAAAGCGUGCGUAGGCGGUGAGUUAAGUCUGCUGUGAAAGCCCUGGGCUCAACCUGGGAAUUGCAGUGGAUACUGGGUCACUAGAGUGUGGUAGAGGAUGGUGGAAUUCCCGGUGUAGCGGUGAAAUGCGUAGAGAUCGGGAGGAACAUCAGUGGCGAAGGCGGCCAUCUGGGACAACACUGACGCUGAGGCACGAAAGCGUGGGGAGCAAACAGGAUUAGAUACCCCCGUAGUCCCUGUCUCUUAUAC
rnacentral:rRNA from 1 species